UAGGGAAUCUUCGGCAAUGGACGAAAGUCUGACCGAGCAACGCCGCGCGAGUGAAGAAGGUAUUCGGAUCGUAAAACUCUGUUGUUAGAGAAGAACAAGGACGUUAGUAACUGAACGUCCCCUGACGGUAUCUAACCAGAAAGCCACGGCUAACUACGUGCCAGCAGCCGCGGUAAUACGUAGGUGGCAAGCGUUGUCCGGAUUUAUUGGGCGUAAAGCGAGCGCAGGCGGUUUCUUAAGUCUGAUGUGAAAGCCCCCGGCUCAACCGGGGAGGGUCAUUGGAAACUGGGAGACUUGAGUGCAGAAGAGGAGAGUGGAAUUCCAUGUGUAGCGGUGAAAUGCGUAGAUAUAUGGAGGAACACCAGUGGCGAAGGCGGCUCUCUGGUCUGUAACUGACGCUGAGGCUCGAAAGCGUGGGGAGCAAACAGG
rnacentral:rRNA from 1 species